rnacentral:rRNA from 1 species
UACGGAGGGGGCAAGCGUUAUUCGGAAUUAUUGGGCGUAAAGGGCGCGUAGGCGGCUUGGCAAGUGGAUGGUGAAAUCCCUCGGCUUAACCGAGGAACUGCCGUCCAAACUGCUUCGCUUGAGACCGGGAGAGGUGAGUGGAAUUCCCAGUGUAGCGGUGAAAUGCGUAGAUAUUGGGAGGAACACCAGUGGCGAAGGCGGCUCACUGGACCGGUACUGACGCUGAUGCGCGAAAGCGUGGGGAGCAAACAGG